UGCAAUGAACUGACUGACGGACUGAGAUUGUGAGCUCCCAGUGAGCAGGGACUGUGUCUCCUAAAUCGUUUGCCAAAGAGGGUGCUUGAGGGGGUGUGGUCUAGCGCUAGGCCAAAUUUGGGGUCAGCUGCCCCAAUCCGGCCUCCUGUGGGUGGACUGGAAGUGGAGCAGGGGUGAAGGACCAGCGUGGCACUGGGUAAGUGUUCGGGGAUUUGGCUGCCUGAGAGAAAGGGCAGAAGCCCAGCUUGUUUCUACCCUCUGGAGAAGCCUCCUAGACAAUCCUGUUCAAAGGUAAGCCCCUGGGGAAUUGCGGGGUGGGGUCUGCAGGGGCUGUGACUCUGGGGGAAACCCAGACUGCCUGGGGUGUCCUGCCUUGGGGUGACCAAGGCAGCCAGGGCCUCCCCUGCAGGGUGUGUGAAUGGCAGCUGCUCUGUUCUGUCCGAGGGGUCGCCCCUCAUCUCUGGCUCUUACUUGGGAUCUCGUUCUUUCCCUCACUUGCUUCCUCUUUUCCUCUUGUGCUCGCUCUCACUUCUGGGGUGAGUGAGCUUGCAGGGGACAGUCCAGCUGCAGCAUGGGGGCACAGAUGGGGCUGGGGCUGCAGCCCCCCCUGACCUGAGACCUGACAAGAUUUCUCCUUAGGGCCAAAGAAAGGGCCUGAGCCCCAGGUGCAUCCUGGAAGACCCUGACCCCCUGGUCCAACCCCGCCUCCCAAGGACGUGUUGGUGCAGACAGGACUGGACAGAACGGAAGCCCCAGCACAGCCCUGAACUGAACUCCUCGGCCCCGUGGACAGUGGAGGACUGACCGGCUACUCACCUGGGGUUAUGGACACUCAUAGAUUGAUUGCGUCGGCCCCACCAUGAGGGAAUCGGUUGGCACUGGGCUGCUGCCCCGUGGACACCCCUCCCCACCCCCAGCCUGCAACUGUAUCCCCCCCUUCCAGACAAUGCCAUUUCCUUUAGGAGUCAAGGGUCAAACCCUGCAUCAUGGGUGCCAAAUCAGUCUCUUGCAAAUCUAGGAGGCGAUGGAGGCGUGUGCGUGUAUGUGUGUCUGUUUCUUGUGUGAGAGCGAGGGUCGGGACAGGAGCAGGGCAAGAGGGGCUGCCCCUCUUUGGCGGGUAAAGGUUUCUGGAAACAGGGGUCUAGAGUCCUGGGCCCGUACUCCGUGGACCUCAAGACCGGGCGUGAAGUCGUGCCGGGGCUCUUAAUUCUAUAGUCAGCGUGUCUUACUUCCGCUCUGGUCCGUUGGGAGUUGUCGGGCCUGCUCUGGCUUCAGGAGUACAGACUCUCUUUCCCGCCUGAGGGGGCCACCCACGGGGAGCAAGGGACAGGAGUAGUGGGGUGUGUGUGUGUGUCUAUCUGUGUGUAUGUGUCACUACCCUAUGUCCUCCAUCCCUCCUGGAUGAGCAUAAGGGCGGGGGGGAGAGGACUAGCAGCAAAUUCUAAAGUGGGAAGAUGCAGAAUGGUUUCCCUCCCAUCCUACCAACAGAAAUGGCGUGGUCCAGCCCCCUCCUCUCCUCCUCCCCCUCCCUGUCCCCUUGGCUGCCUGGGCUCUGUGAGCCCAUCUACGUCUGUAUGGAAUAAAAUGGAUUUUUUUUUGUCUU